rnacentral:rRNA from 1 species
GAUGAACGCUGGCGGCGUGCCUAAUACAUGCAAGUCGAGCGAACAGACGAGGAGCUUGCUCCUCUGACGUUAGCGGCGGACGGGUGAGUAACACGUGGAUAACCUACCUAUAAGACUGGGAUAACUUCGGGAAACCGGAGCUAAUACCGGAUAAUAUAUUGAACCGCAUGGUUCAAUAGUGAAAGACGGUUUUGCUGUCACUUAUAGAUGGAUCCGCGCCGCAUUAGCUAGUUGGUAAGGUAACGGCUUACCAAGGCAACGAUGCGUAGCCGACCUGAGAGGGUGAUCGGCCACACUGGAACUGAGACACGGUCCAGACUCCUACGGGAGGCAGCAGUAGGGAAUCUUCCGCAAUGGGCGAAAGCCUGACGGAGCAACGCUGCGUGAGUGAUGAAGGUCUUCGGAUCGUAAGACUCUGUUAUUAGGGAAGAACAAAUGUGUAAGUAACUAUGCACGUCUUGACGGUACCUAAUCAGAAAGCCACGGCUAACUACGUG